rnacentral:rRNA from 1 species
GACAGAGGCCUCAAGCGUUAGGCGGAAUCACUGGGCUUAAAGCGUGUGUAGGCGGAUCGUUAAGUGUCUUGUGAAAUCCCACGGCUCACCCGUGGAACUGCUGGGCAUACUGGCGAUCUUGGGCCAACUAGGGGCAACUGGAACAAGCGGUGGAGCGGUGAAAUGCGUAGAUAUCGCUUGGAACGCCAAAGGUGAAAACAGGUUGCUGGGGUUGUGCCGACG